GAGUUUGAUCGUGGCUCAGGAUAAACGCUGGCGGCGCACAUAAGACAUGCAAGUCGAACGAACUUAAUUUUAAUAUUUAUAUUAAAAGACGGUUAGUGGCGGACUGGUGAGUAACGCGUAAGCAAUCUGCCUAUCAGAGGGGAAUAACAGUGAGAAAUCAUUGCUAAUACCGCAUAUGCCAUAAGAAUCACAUGAUUCUAGUGGGAAAGGAGCAAUCCACUGAUAGAUGAGCUUGCGUCUGAUUAGCUAGUUGGUGGGAUAACGGCCUACCAAGGCGACGAUCAGUAGCCGGACUGAGAGGUUGAACGGCCACAUUGGGACUGAGAUACGGCCCAGACUCCUACGGGAGGCAGCAGUCGGGAAUAUUGCGCAAUGGAGGAAACUCUGACGCAGUGACGCCGCGUAUAGGAAGAAGGUUUUCGGAUUGUAAACUAUUGUCGUUAGGGAAGAUAAAAGACAGUACCUAAGGAGGAAGCUCCGGCUAACUACGUGGCAGCCGCCGCAGUAA
rnacentral:rRNA from 1 species